AUACGUAGGGGGCGAGCGUUGUCCGGAAUGAUUGGGCGUAAAGGGCGCGUAGGCGGCGCGGUAAGUCUGGAGUGAAAGUCCUGCUUUCAAGGUGGGAAUUGCUUUGGAUACUGCCGCGCUUGAGUGCAGGAGAGGUUAUCGGAAUUCCCGGUGUAGCGGUGAAAUGCGUAGAGAUCGGGAGGAACACCAGUGGCGAAGGCGGGUAACUGGACUGCAACUGACGCUGAGGCGCGAAAGUGUGGGGAGCAAACAGGAUUAGAUACCCUGGUAGUCCACACUGUAAACGAUGAAUGCUAGAUGUAAGAGGUAUCGACCCCUUUUGUGCCGGAGUCAACACAAUAAGCAUUCCGCCUGGGGAGUACGGCCGCAAGGUUGAAACUCAAAUGAAUUGACGGGG
rnacentral:rRNA from 1 species